CUCUAUAUAAAUGGAGUCCAAACUUCAGCUCUACACAACUUUCUUGUCAAGUCUUUCAAAGCAGAGAAGACUCUAAGCUGAAAUCACUGCAGCCAUGCUGAAGGUAGCACUUGUUCUUGGAUGCCUCCUGAGCCUCAUUGUGGCUACACCAUUGGAGCACCAGCGAUUUGCUCGCUCUAGCUCUGGCUCAAACUCCAAUGAGGCGUCAACAAACAGCUUGGCCUCCCUGCUAUCCCUGAUUUUGCAGCUCCUUGCCACCACGACCACAACUACAACAACUACAACUGCAGCUACAACAAGAGCUCCAUAAAAUGGAGUUUUGAACAUCAGUGAUGUGUUGAGAAAGCCGUCAUUGUUUUUCUCUCUCAAUUUUUCAAUGAUAUUGGAAAUCAGUUUCCAAUAUCACUGAAACUUGGAUCAAACCUGCUGUCAUGUUUGGUUUUGUGCUUAAUAAAGUUCAGCAAAAAAAACCCAA